rnacentral:lncRNA from 1 species
CUUCAGAAUUGGAGCUGGGCGGGGUGGGUUGGGGGAUGGGAGGAGGAGGGAUGGGGAAGGAACAUUAGUCAGGAUCCACCACCAAAGUGUUGGAAUCUGGCUGUCCAAAAGCCCAGAGCUAAAAUUUAUUUGGUUUUGGUCCUGUUGUUAAUGAACAGAUCAUGUCCUUGACCCCCUCCAGCUUGGGUGACAGCAAGAUCUUGUCUCAAAAGAAAAAAAAAAAAAAAAGCUGCCUUGGCCUCCCAAAGUGCUGGGAUUCCAGGCAUGAGCCAUCCUGCCUGGCUGAACUAUGGUUUACUGAAUGCCUAUUCUGUGCCUGUCUGUGUGUAGGGGACAUACUUUGUGC